rnacentral:rRNA from 1 species
GACGAACGCUGGCGGCGUGCUUAACACAUGCAAGUCGAGCGGUAAGGCCCUUUCGGGGGUACGACGAGCGGCGAACGGGUGAGUAACACGUGGGUGACCUGCCCUUAGCUCUGGGAUAAGCCUGGGAAACUGGGUCUAAUACCGGAUAUGACUCCAUGACGCAUGUUGUGGGGUGGAAAGCCUUGUGCGGCUAGGGGAUGGGCCCGCGGCCUAUCAGCUUGUUGGUGGGGUGAUGGGCCUACCAAGGGCGACGACGGGUAGCCGGCCUGAGAGGGCGACCGGCCACACUGGGACUGAGGACACGGCCCAGACUCCUACGGGAGGGCAGCAGUUGGGGAAUCUUGCGCAAUGGGCGAAAGCCUGACGCAGCGACGCCGCGUUGAGGGAUGACGGCCU